rnacentral:rRNA from 1 species
GACGAACGCUGGCGGCGUGCUUAACACAUGCCAGUCGAACGGAAAGGCCCUGCUUUUGUGGGGUGCUCGAGUGGCGAACGGGUGAGGAACACGUGAGUAACCUGCCCUUGACUUUGGGAUAACUUCAGGAAACUGGGGCUACUACCGGAUAGGAGCUCCCGCUCCAUGGUGGGGGGUGGAACGUUUCGGCGGUUGGGGAUGGAUUCGCGGCUUAUCAGCUUGUUGGUGGGGUAGUGGCUUACCAAGGCAUUGACGGGUCGCCGGCCUGGGAGGGUGACCGGCCACAAGGGGACUGCGAUACGGACCAGACUGCAACGGGAGGCAACAGGGGGGAAUAUGGCACAACGGGCGGAAGCCUGAUGAAGCGACGCCGCGUGCGGGAUGACGGCUUGCGGGUUGUAAAACGCUUUCGCCUGUGACGAAGCGUGAGUGACGGUAAUGGGUAAAGAAGCACCGGCUAACUACGUG